rnacentral:rRNA from 1 species
UCUGGUAAGUAUAUCUUGAAGGAAACACCCGUUACCAUGUCGAACACGAAGGUUAAGCUUCAAAGAGCUGAGAGUACUGCACGGGAAGCUGUGUGGGAGGGUAAGUUAUUGCCAGGU